rnacentral:rRNA from 1 species
UAACACGUAUGCAAUUUACCUCUAACUGGGGAAUAGCCUUCCGAAAGGAAGAUUAACACCGCAUAACAUUUCUGAAGGACAUCCUUCGGUUAUCAAAACUCAGGUGGUUAGAGAUAAGCAUGCGUCCGAUUAGCUAGUUGGUGAGGUAAUGGCUCACCAAGGCAACGAUCGGUAGGGGGUCUGAGAGGAUGAUCCCCCACACUGGUACUGAGACACGGACCAG